AUACGGAGGAUCCAAGCGUUAUCCGGAUUUAUUGGGUUUAAAGGGUGCGCAGGCGGAAGAUUAAGUCGGCGGUGAAAUUUUGCAGCUCAACUGUAAAAGUGCCAUCGAUACUGGUUUUCUUGAGUGUGGAUGAAGUAGGCGGAAUUUGUGGUGUAGCGGUGAAAUGCAUAGAUAUCACGAGGAACUCCGAUUGCGCAGGCAGCUUACUAAACUACUACUGACGCUCAGGCACGACGGCGUGGGGAUCAAACAGGAUUAGAUACCCUGGUAGUCCUCGCAGUAAACGAUGAUUACUAGCUGUUUGCGAUACAAUGUAAGCGGCUGAGCGACAGCGUUAAGUAAUCCACCUGGGGAGUACGUUCGCAAGAAUGAAACUCAAAGUAAUUGAAGGGG
rnacentral:rRNA from 1 species